GAUGAAGACGUAGCGAAAUGCGAUAAGUAAUGUGAAUUGCAGAAUUCAGUGAAUCAUCGAAUCUUUGAACGCACAUUGCGCCCGCUAGUAUUCUGGCGGGCAUGCCUGUCCGAGCGUCAUUUCAACCCUCAAGCCCCCGGGCUUGGUGUUGGGGAUCGGCGAGCCUCCGCGCCCGCCGUCCCCUAAAUCUAGUGGCGGUCUCGCUGUAGCUUCCUCUGCGUAGUAGCACACCUCGCACUGGGAAACAGCGCGGCCACGCCGUUAAACCCCCAACUUCUGAACGUUUGACCUCGGAUCAGGUAGGAAUACCCGCUGAACUUAAGCAUAUCAAUAAGCGGAGGA
rnacentral:misc_RNA from 1 species